rnacentral:lncRNA from 1 species
CUGAGAUCCAAAUCUAGACCUGAACUCAAGCCCCUUGCUUGGCAAGGUGGAGGAUGGUUUUGGCCCGACUUCAUUAAAUAUGAGAAAUUCCAGCUCUAGAGACUGUGUAUUCAAUCUCCACCAUGUGUCUGUGGCUGAGACUGUGUUGGAAGAGAUGAACAGAAAAUGUCCAACUAUGAUGUCCAAGUAAAGGUCUUGAAAUAUCACUCAAGAAGGGCAGAGAGGUAGACCAUGCUUACCAAAGCCAGAGGGACCACAUGCUCUGAACACAGCAAACUCAUCAUGAGAUUGAAAGGACUGCCUAGAGGCAGCAUUUGAAUUGGGCUUUGAUGGAAGCCUGGGAUUUUAACUGAUUCUGGCACUGAUCGGAGAGGAAUUGCAGGAUAUGGGAAUGGCACAAGAAAAGUCCUGGAGAUGAGAGCAUGUUUGCCUUACUCACAGAAUGCCAAAUUGUUGGAUUGUUCUUCAAUUUAGGGUAUGUAUAUGUGUCCUUUUUAUGGGAGUAGCAUGUGGGAUUGCUGUGGUAGGUAAAAGACCCAUAUAGAUAGCAAUGUAUGGUAAUUGGUCUUGACUCGCCCAUUAGAUGAUAGAAAAGUCUUCAAAUACUUUUGCACAGGGAAGAGAAUGAUUCAGUUUUAUUUUCACUUAUUAGGUCACUCUAAUAUCACUGUGAACAAUAGGCC